GGCGCAGUAGACGAAUGGGAAGAGUCGGCGGUCCUUCAAACCGCGUCACCUGCGGGUUCGAGCCCCGUCUGCGCUA
rnacentral:tRNA from 1 species